GCCUGGGUGGCUCAGUGGUUGAGUAUCUGACUUUGGCUCAGGGUGUGAUCCCGGGCU
rnacentral:tRNA from 1 species